rnacentral:rRNA from 1 species
UACGUAGGGUGCAAGCGUUAAUCGGAAUUACUGGGCGUAAAGCGUGCGCAGGCGGUGAUGUAAGACAGGUGUGAAAUCCCCGGGCUUAACCUGGGAACUGCAUUUGUGACUGCAUGGCUAGAGUUUGGCAGAGGGGGGUAGAAUUCCACGUGUAGCAGUGAAAUGCGUAGAUAUGUGGAGGAACACCGAUGGCGAAGGCAGCCCCCUGGGUCAAGACUGACGCUCAUGCACGAAAGGCGUGGGGAGCAAACAGG